GGUGCCAGGCACGCUGUCCCUGUAAAUGCAUUUUAUUCAUGACAAAAUGAAGGUGCAAUGCCGUUAGGUGACUCUUCCCAAAGCCCAAGGCUGUGUGGCUCUAGGUCUGGGGAGUUCUGGCAAGGCCAGGACCCCGCAGGCUGGGUGGUCUGGGAGGGUAUAAAGAGACCCUGGGCCUGAGGAGAGCCUGCUGGGGAGGCCUGUCUGGGGGGGUAGCCGUAGUGUUAGCAAAGCAGACAGGCGAGUGAGAGCAGGAAGGGUAGGCAACUGGGGCUCGGGGCCUGAUUAGGAAAGGAGACUGGAGAGACAGGCCUCAGCCACUGGUGGGUCAGGAGCCUUGAAUGCAGAGAAGGGGACUUCAAACCCGAGAACAAGGAAUUCUCACUGUGGUUCAACGGGUUAAGAACUCAUGGGUCCAUGAGGAUACGGGUUCAGUCUCUGGCUUCGCUCAGUGGGUUAAGGAUCUGGCUUUGUGCGAGCUGCAGCAUAGAUCACAGAGGAGGCUUGGAUCUGGUGUUGCCAUUGCUGUGGCUGUGGUGUAGGCUGGCAACUGCGGCCCCGAUUUGACUCCCAGCCUGGGAACUUCUGUAUGCUGCAGGUGCAGCCCUAAAAGGAAAAAAAAAAAAAAAAAAAAAAACAGGAGUUCCCAUUGUAGCUCAGUGGUUGACAAAUCUGACGAGGAACCAUGAGGUUCCGGUUCGAUCCCUGGCCUCGCUCAGUGGGUUAAGGAUCCCACAUUGCCGUGAGCUGUGGUGUAGGUCGCAGACGCGGCUCGGAUCUGGCGUUGCUGUGGCUCUGGCGUAGACCAGCAGCUACAGCUCUGAUUCGAGCCCUAGCCUGGGAACCUCCAUAUGCUGCGGGUGCGGCCCUGGAAAAAAGACAAAAAAAAACCAAAAAACAAAAAAACCCCUGAGAACAGGGCUCUUCCCAGGGGGUUUGGGAGGCAGAGACACAGGGGCUCUGACGUCAGCAACCCUUUCUCCCGCCAGCCAAAGACAGCAGCGUUCCCAAGCGCAAGAGAAAGCGGGUCUCUGAAGGGAACUCCGUCUCCUCUUCCUCCUCGUCUUCCUCUUCCUCCUCCUCGAACCCGGAGUCGGUGGCGUCCACCAAUCAGAUCUCACUCGUGCAAUGGCCAAUGUACAUGGUGGACUACGCCGGCCUGAACGUGCAGCUCCCGGGACCUCUGAACUACUAGACCUCAGUGCUGAAUCAGGACCUCACUCAGAAAGACUAAAGGAAAUGUAAUUUAUGUACAAAGUGUAUAUUCGGAUAUGUAUCAAUGCCUUUUAGUUUUUCCAAUGAUUUUUACACUAUAUUCCUGCCACCAAGGCCUUUUUAAAUAAGUAAAAAAAAAAAAAAAAAAC
rnacentral:lncRNA from 1 species